rnacentral:rRNA from 1 species
UCACCCGCUGAAUUUAAGCAUAUCAUUAAGCGGAGGAAAAGAAACUAACCAGGAUUCCCCUAGUAACGGCGAGCGAA